UACGGAGGAAAAGAAACCAACCGGGAUUGCCUCAGUAACGGCGAGUGAAGCGGCAAGAGCUCAAAUUUGAAAGCUGGCUCCUUCGGAGUCCGCAUUGUAAUUUGCAGAGGAUGCUUUGGGUGCGGCCCCCGUCUAAGUGCCCUGGAACGGGCCGUCAGAGAGGGUGAGAAUCCCGUCUUGGGCGGGGUGUCCGUGCCCGUGUAAAGCUCCUUCGACGAGUCGAGUUGUUUGGGAAUGCAGCUCUAAAUGGGUGGUAAAUUUCAUCUAAAGCUAAAUACUGGCCGGAGACCGAUAGCGCACAAGUAGAGUGAUCGAAAGAUGAAAAGCACUUUGAAAAGAGAGUUAAACAGCACGUGAAAUUGUUGAAAGGGAAGCGCUUGCGACCAGACUCGCCCGCGGGGUUCAGCCGGCAUUCGUGCCGGUGUACUUCCCCGUGGGCGGGCCAGCGUCGGUUUGGGCGGCCGGUCAAAGGCCCCUGGAAUGUAGUACCCUCCGGGGUACCUUAUAGCCAGGGGUGCAAUGCGGCCAGCCUGGACCGAGGAACGCGCUUCGGCACGGACGCUGGCAUAAUGGUCGUAAACGACCCGUCUGAAACACGGACCAAGGAGUCUAAACAUCUACGCGAGUGUUCGGGUGUCAAACCCGUGCGCGCAGUGAAAGCGAACGGAGGUGGGAGCCCCCUCGCGGGGCGCACCAUCGACCGAUCCUGAUGUCUUCGGAUGGAUUUGAGUAAGAGCGUAAAUGUGGGGACCCGAAAGAUGGUGAACUAUGCCUGAAUAGGGCGAAGCCAGAGGAAACUCUGGUGGAGGCUCGCAGCGGUUCUGACGUGCAAAUCGAUCGUCAAAUUUGGGUAUAGGGGCGAAAGACUAAUCGAACCAUCUAGUAGCUGGUUCCUGCCGAAGUUUCCCUCAGGAUAGCAGUAACGCAAAAUCAGUU
rnacentral:rRNA from 1 species